rnacentral:rRNA from 1 species
CAAAAACAUUUUUUAAUGAACUUAUAUUAAAUAAAACCUGCUCAUUGUAAAAUAAAUAGCCGCAGAAAAUUUACUGUGCUAAGGUAGCAUAAUCACUUGUCUUAUAAUUCAAGACUAGAAUGAAAGGUCCCACACUUAAUAAUACUUUUUAAAUAUGUUAUUUUAAUUUAUAUUAAAAAUAAAAAUAUUUUUAUUUAUCUAAAAGACGACAAGACCCUUUUGAACUUAACUGAAGUUAGGCUGGGGAAGCCUAAUAAUAAUAAUCUUAAUUUAACCAAUUAAAUAAAUAACCACUAAUAGAACCAUAAUCAAGUUACCAAAGGGAUAACAGCGUAAUACUUUUUCAAAGCUCUAAUUGAUAAACUAAUAUACGACCUCGAUGUUGAAUUAAUUUUUCUUACUUAUGCAAGAAUAAGAUAAGUAAGUCUGUUCGACUUUUUAAAAAUUACAUGAUCUGAGUUCAAACCGG